GAAAGCGAAAGCAGCUAACUAUAGAAUACUUGACGAUGAGGGACGACAGUUUGGGGAGCAAACAGGAUUAGAUACCCUGGUAGUCCAAACCGUAAAUUAUGCUUGCUAGAUGUUUUUAUCAGUUUACUGGUAGGAGUGUCGUAAUCUAACGAGUUAAGCAAGCCGCCUGGGUAGUAUAUUCGCAAGAAUGAAACUCAAAGGGAUAGGCGGGGGAACACACAAGCAGUGGAUUAUCUAGAUUAAUUGGAUAAUAAGCCAAGAAUCUUACCUAGGAUUGACAUGUAUUGUGUCUCAGGUGAAAGCCUGAUAUCCGUAGUAAUACGGAGCUUUACACAGGUGGUGCAUGGUCGUCGUCAGCUCGUGCCGCAAGGUGUCUAGUUAAGUCUGGAAACGAGCGCAACCCUCGUGUUUAGUUAGUAUGUCUAAACAGACUGCUCGGGUAACCGAGAGGAAGGAGAGGAUGACGUCAGAUCCUCAUGCCCCUUACACCUAGGGCCUCAUAGAUAAUACAAUGGGUAGGUACAGCGAGAAGCGAAACCGCGAGGUGGAGCAAAUCUUUAAAACUGCCCUUAGUUCGGAUUGUACUCUGGAACUCGAGUACAUGAAGUUGGAAUUGCUAGUAAUGGCAGAUCAGCCAUGCUGCCGUGAAUACGUCCCUGUUCCUUGCACUCACCGCCCGUCAAACCAUGGGAGCUGAGGCUCUUUGAAGACUCAUUAUAUGGGUUAAGGAGGGAAUCAGUGACUGGGGUUAAGUCGUAACAAGGCAUCCCUACCGGAAGGUGGGGAUA
rnacentral:rRNA from 1 species